rnacentral:lncRNA from 1 species
UCCAUAGGGGUUCCGCUACCCGUUAACAUUUAACAUUCAUAAUCAGUUUCCAGGACCGUCCCCAUACCCGUCCGGUAUGGGCGCCAAACCAUAAACCUCAAUACCCCGUCCGGUAUGAGGGUGAAACGGGCCGUCCCCAUACCCCGUCCGGUAUGGGCGCCAAAACCAUAAACCUCAAUACCCCGUCCGGUAUGAGGGUGAAACAGGCCGUCCCCAUACCCCGUCCGGUAUGGGCGCCAAAACCAUAAGAUCUCCA